AGAGAGAAACGCGAAUGGCGAGGCGAAGCAGAACGCAUGGUGGGAAGGCUUUCCUUGCCACUGCCGCCGCCGGAAUCAUGAACCAAGGUGGAGGAGAAGGCCGUCUUCCCCGUUGCUGCUAUAAUCGUCCGUGCUGCUGCCGGUGCUUCCUUGUUCUGUUAUUCCUUUCUAAUUCUUCCCCUGUUCCACCCCUGAAUUUCCAGAAUUAUUACUCUACCCAAUAUGAAUUCAUUGUUUUGCUCACUGUCGUGGCCAACUCGCGUUGCUGCUGCCCUGUCAAAGCUGUUGUGAGUGUUGCUAACAUUGGCGGAUAAGGGAUGAAGGAGCUAUUGCAUUUUGGGUGCAGCCCAACCACUCAUCACGCCAC